AAUCAAGCGCGAAAAGGGCGUUUGGUGAAUGCCUUGGCAGUAAGAGGCGAUGAAAGACGUGAUACUCUGCGAUAAGCUAUGGGGAGCCGAGAAUAGGCUUUGAUCCAUGGAUUUCUGAAUGGGGCAACCCACUUGAUUAUAUUCUGUUAUUGCUUCGCAAUAACGCCCACUCCGUGCCGGCCAUUGGCCGGUCUGGCGGUUGGCGGCGAAGCGGUUAUCAGGAUGUAAAACCAAGUAUUUAUAACCUGAAUACAUAGGGUUAUAAAAGCAAACCCGGGGAACUGAAACAUCUAAGUACCCGGAGGAAAGGACAUCAAUUGAUACUCCCCUAGUAGCGGCGAGCGAACGGGGACCAGCCGAGCCAUGAGUGUGAAUAGAAUGUGUUGGGAAGCACAGCCAGAGUGGGUGACAGCCCCGUAUAUGAAGCAUGAUUGGACGUAUUAAGUAGGGCGGAACACGUGAAAUUCUGUCUGAAGAUCGGAGGACCACCUUCGAAGGCUAAGUACUCCUUACUGACCGAUAGCGAACCAGUACCGUGAGGGAAAGGUGAAAAGCACCCCGACGAGGGGAGUGAAACAGUACCUGAAACCGAACGCCUACAAUCAGUUGGAGGGGCCUUGUGUCCUGACAGCGUACCUUUUGUAUAAUGGGUCAUCGACUUGGUCUCACGUGCAAGCUUAAGCCGUUAGGUGUAGGCGCAGCGAAAGCGAGUCUUAAUAGGGCGUCGAGUUCGUGGGAUCAGACCCGAAACCGAGUGAUCUAGGCAUGACCAGGAUGAAGGUUAGGUAACACUAACUGGAGGUCCGAACCCACACCUGUUGAAAAAGGUCGGGAUGAGUUGUGCCUAGGGGUGAAAGGCCAAUCAAACUCGGAGAUAGCUGGUUCUCUGCGAAAUCUAUUUAGGUAGAGCGUCAUCCGAAUACCCUCGGGGGUAGAGCACUGGAUGGGUAAUGGGGCCUUACCGGCUUACUGAUCCUAACCAAACUCCGAAUACCGAGGAGUACUAGAUGGCAGACACACUGCGGAUGCUAACGUCCGUAGUGGAGAGGGAAACAACCCUGACCUCCAGCUAAGGCCCCUAAUUCAUGGCUAAGUGGGAAAGCAGGUGGGACGACCAAAACAACCAGGAGGUUGGCUUAGAAGCAGCCAUCCUUUAAAGAUAGCGUAACAGCUCACUGGUCUAAUCAAGUUGUCCUGCGGCGAAGAUGUAACGGGGCUCAAGCCAUGAGCCGAAGCUGAGGAUGCCGUAAGGCAUGGUAGCAGAGCGUAGUGUGACAUAGGAUUUAUCUUUACUGCCGCACCUGCGGUUGCGAGAGCAUUCGUGCUCAAGCAGCCCUCCGGGCGGUAGCACAAGAUAAAGUCCUUUCGAUGAAGCCGGCGCGUGAGCGAUCCGGUGGAGAGAUCACUAGCGAGAAUGAUGACAUGAGUAGCGACAAAGAGUGUGAGAGACACUCUCGCCGAAAGUCCAAGGGUUCCUGCUUAAAGCUAAUCUGAGCAGGGUAAGCCGACCCCUAAGGCGAGGCCGAAAGGCGUAGUCGAUGGGAACCAGGUUAAUAUUCCUGGGCCAGGAGGAUGUGACGGAUUGUGAAGGUUGUUCACCCUUAUCGGAUUGGGUGGGCCGCUGAUCAGUCCCUGGAAAUAGCCCUCCGCUAGAUCGUACCCUAAACCGACACAGGUGGACUGGUAGAGCAUACCAAGGCGCUUGAGAGAACGAUGUUGAAGGAACUCGGCAAAAUACCUCCGUAAGUUCGCGAGAAGGAGGCCCAGUUUCUACGCAAGUAUUGGCUGGGGGCACAAACCAGGGGGUGGCGACUGUUUAUUAAAAACACAGGGCUCUGCGAAGUCGCAAGACGACGUAUAGGGUCUGACGCCUGCCCGGUGCCUGAAGGUUAAAAGGAGAGGUGAGAGCCUUGAAUUGAAGCCCAGGUAAACGGCGGCCGUAACUAUAACGGUCCUAAGGUAGCGAAAUUCCUUGUCGGGUAAGUUCCGACCUGCACGAAUGGCGUAACGACUUCCCCGCUGUCUCCAACAUCGACUCAGCGAAAUUGAAUUACCUGUCAAGAUGCAGGUUUCCCGCGGUUAGACGGAAAGACCCCGUGCACCUUUACUACAGCUUCGCACUGGCAUCAGGAUUGUGAUGUGCAGGAUAGGUGGUAGGCUUUGAAAUCGUGACGCCAGUCGCGGCGGAGCCUCCCUUGAGAUACCACCCUUCGCACUCUUGAUGUCUAACCGCGGUCCGUUAUCCGGAUCCGGGACCCUGCGUGGCGGGUAGUUUGACUGGGGCGGUCGCCUCCUAAAGCGUAACGGAGGCGCGCGAAGGUUGGCUCAGAGCGGUCGGAAAUCGCUCGUUGAGUGCAAUGGCAGAAGCCAGCCUGACUGCGAGACUGACAAGUCGAGCAGAGUCGAAAGACGGCCAUAGUGAUCCGGUGGUCCCGAGUGGAAGGGCCAUCGCUCAACGGAUAAAAGGUACGCCGGGGAUAACAGGCUGAUACUGCCCAAGAGUCCAUAUCGACGGCAGUGUUUGGCACCUCGAUGUCGGCUCAUCUCAUCCUGGGGCUGGAGCAGGUCCCAAGGGUACGGCUGUUCGCCGUUUAAAGAGGUACGUGAGCUGGGUUUAGAACGUCGUGAGACAGUUCGGUCCCUAUCUGCCGUGGGUGUAGGAUACUUGAGAGGAGUUGCCCCUAGUACGAGAGGACCGGGGUGAACGAUCCACUGGUGGACCUGUUGUUGCGCCAGCAGCAGUGCAGGGUAGCUAUGAUCGGACAGGAUAACCGCUGAAGGCAUCUAAGCGGGAAGCCCCCCUCAAAACAAGGUAUCCCUGAGGACCGUGGUAGACCACCACGUCGAUAGGCCGGAGAUGUAAGUGCAGCAAUGCAUUCAGUUGACCGGUACUAAUUGUCCGACAGGCUUGAUUUG
rnacentral:rRNA from 1 species